rnacentral:rRNA from 1 species
AUUGAACGCUGGCGGCAGGCUUAAUACAUGCAAGUCGAGCGAGCGGAGGACGGGUGAGUAAUGUCUGGGAAAGUGGCUGAUGUAGGGGGAAAACUAGUGGAAAAGGUAGCUAAUAGCGCAAACCAUCAGAUGUGCCCAGAGUGGAUUAGCUAGGAGGGGGGGUAAUGGCUCACCUAGGCGACGAUGCCUAGCUGGUCUGCGAGGCUGAACGGCCACACUGGAACUGAGACACGGUCCAGACUCCUACGGGAGGCAGCAGUGGGGAAUCGUCCACAAUGGGCGCAAGUCUGAUCCAGCCACGCCGCGUGUGUGAAGAAGGUCUUCGGGUUGUAAAGCUCUGUCGUCGUAGAGGCGUUACUCACAGAAGAAGCACCGGCUAACUCCGUGCCAGCAGCCGCGGUAAUAC